GGCUGAAAUUCGCCUUCAUGAAGCUGGAAUUGCUAGUAAUGGCAGGUCAGCAUACUGCCGUGAAUACGUUCCCGGGCCUUGUACACACCGCCCGUCACACCAUGAGAGUUGGGAAUACCCGAAGCCUGUGAGCUAACUUAUAGAGGCAGCAGUCGAAGGUAGAAUCAAUGAUUCGGGGUGAAGUCGUAACAAGGUAGC
rnacentral:rRNA from 1 species